UACGUAGGUGGCAAGCGUUGUCCGGAUUUACUGGGCGUAAAGAGCGCGUAGGCGGCCAGAUAAGUCCGGUGUGAAAGUCACAGGCUCAACCUGUGAAUGCCGCUGGAAACUGUCUGGCUAGAGUCCGGGAGGGGCGAGUGGAAUUCCUGGGUGUAGCGGUGAAAUGCGCAGAUAUCAGGAGGAACACCAAUGGCGAAGGCAGCUCGCUGGAACGGUACUGGACGCUGGAGGCGACGAAAAGCGUGGGGAGCAAACAGG
rnacentral:rRNA from 1 species